CCUACGGGUGGCAGCAGUGGGGAAUAUUGCACAAUGGGGGAAACCCUGAUGCAGCGACGCCGCGUGAGUGAAGAAGUAUCUCGGUAUGUAAAGCUCUAUCAGCAGGGAAGAAAAUGACGGUACCUGAUUAAGAAGCCCCGGCUAACUACGUGCCAGCAGCCGCGGUAAUACGUAGGGGGCAAGCGUUAUCCGGAUUUACUGGGUGUAACGGGAGCGUAGACGGCAGCACAAGUCUGGAGUGAAAUGCCGGGGCUUAACCCCGGAACUGCUUUGGAAACUGUGCAGCUAGAGUGUAGGAGGGGUAAGCGGAAUUCCGAGUGUAGCGGUGAAAUGCGUAGAUAUUAGGAGGAACACCAGUGGCGAAGGCGGCUUACUGGACUGUAACUGACGUUGAGGCUCGAAAGCGUGGGGAGCAAACAGGAUUAGAUACCCCAGUAGUC
rnacentral:rRNA from 1 species